rnacentral:rRNA from 1 species
GUGUCAGCAGCCGCGGUAAUACGUAGGUGGCAAGCGUUGUCCGGAUUUAUUGGGCGUAAAGGGCGCGCAGGCGGUUCGUUAGGUCCGAGGUGAAAUCUCCCGGCUCAACUGGGAGGGGUCUUCGGAUACCGGCGGGCUUGAGGUGAGCAGAGGUGAGCGGAAUUCUGGGUGUAGUGGUGAAAUGCGUAGAUAUCCAGAGGAACACCAGUGGCGAAGGCGGCUCACUGGGCUCCACCUGACGCUGAGGCGCGAAAGCGUGGGGAGCGAACCGGAUUAGAAACCCGCGUAGUCC